rnacentral:rRNA from 1 species
GGUCAUGACUUUCUAGAGAUAGAUUGGUGCCUUCGGGAACAUUGAGACAGGUGCUGCAUGGCUGUCGUCAGCUCUUGUCGUGAGAUGUUGGGUUAAGUCCCGUAACGAGCGCAACCCUUGUCCUUAGUUACCAGCACGUAAUGGUGGGCACUCUAAGGAGACUGCCGGUGACAAACCGGAGGAAGGUGGGGAUGACGUCAAGUCAUCAUGGCCCUUACGGCCUGGGCUACACACGUGCUACAAUGGUCGGUACAAAGGGUUGCCAAGCCGCGAGGUGGAGCUAAUCCCAUAAAACCGAUCGUAGUCCGGAUCGCAGUCUGCAACUCGACUGCGUGAAGUCGGAAUCGCUAGUAAUCGUGAAUCAGAAUGUCACGGUGAAUACGUUCCCGGGUCUUGUACACACCGAAUCU